rnacentral:tRNA from 1 species
GUGUCUGUAGCCUAGUUGGUUAAAGGAAGCACUCUAGCAUUUGUAUCAGUUAUACUGAAGUUGUGAGUUGGAAUCUCACCAGACACA